UGAUGUGGGGGAUAACCAUUGGAAACGAUGGCUAAUACCGCAUAGAAGCUACGGCUUAAAGAGGGGGACCUUCGGGCCUCUCGCGUCAGGAUAUGCCCAGGUGGGAUUAGCUAGUUGGUGGGGUAAAGGCUCACCAAGGCAACGAUCUCUAGCUGGUCUGAGAGGAUGAUCAGCCACACUGGAACUGAGACACGGUCCAGACUCCUACGGGAGGCAGCAGUGGGGAAUAUUGCACAAUGGGCGCAAGCCUGAUGCAGCCAUGCCGCGUGUAUGAAGAAGGCCUUCGGGUUGUAAAGUACUUUCAGUGGUGAGGAAGGUUAUGUAUUUAAUAGAUGCGUAGCUUGACGUUAGCCACAGAAGAAGCACCGGCUAACUCCGUGCCAGCAGCCGCGGUAAUACGGAGGGUGCGAGCGUUAAUCGGAAUUACUGGGCGUAAAGCGCAUGCAGGUGGUCUGUUAAGUCAGAUGUGAAAGCCCGGGGCUUAACCUCGGAAUAGCAUUUGAAACUGUCAGACUAGAGUACUGUAGAGGGGGGUAGAAUUUCAGGUGUAGCGGUGAAAUGCGUAGAGAUCUGAAGGAAUACCGGUGGCGAAGGCGGCCCCCUGGACAGAUACUGACACUCAGAUGCGAAAGCGUGGGAGCAAACAGGAUUAGAUACCCUGGUAGUCCACGCCGUAAACGAUGUCUACUUGGAGGUUGUGGCCUUGAGCCGUGGCUUUCGGAGCUAACGCGUUAAGUAGACCGCCUGGGGAGUACGGUCGCAAGAUUAAAACUCAAAUGAAUUGACGGGGGCCCGCACAAGCGGUGGAGCAUGUGGUUUAAUUCGAUGCAACGCGAAGAACCUUACCUACUCUUGACAUCUACAGAAGCUUGCGGAGACGCGAGUGUGCCUUCGGGAACUGUAAGACAGGUGCUGCAUGGCUGUCGUCAGCUCGUGUUGUGAAAUGUUGGGUUAAGUCCCGCAACGAGCGCAACCCUUAUCCUUGUUUGCCAGCACGUAAUGGUGGGAACUCCAGGGAGACUGCCGGUGAUAAACCGGAGGAAGGUGGGGACGACGUCAAGUCAUCAUGGCCCUUACGAGUAGGGCUACACACGUGCUACAAUGGCACAUACAGAGGGCAGCCAACUUGCAAAAGUGAGCGAAUCCCAAAAAGUGUGUCGUAGUCCGGAUCGGAGUCUGCAACUCGACUCCGUGAAGUCGGAAUCGCUAGUAAUCGUGGAUCAGAAUGCCACGGUGAAUACGUUCCCGGGCCUUGUACACACCGCCCGUCACACCAUGGGAGUGGGCUGCAAAAGAAGUAGGUAGUUUAACCUUCGGGGGGACGCUUACCACUUUGUGGUUCAUGACUGGGGUGAAGUCGAAACAAGGUA
rnacentral:rRNA from 1 species